ensembl:lincRNA
CUUAUACUUUCAUCUUGAUUAUUUUUACAUACUCUGUUAAAGAACCAGAGGCAUAUAGAUUAGAUAGUGAUGAAUAUGUUUUAUCAAGAAGUAGGCACUCCUGUCUUCAUUAUGCAGAACUUAAAAUAAUUUUAUUUUCCCUGCUGCAGGCAAGAAUGGUCCUGGAGAGUGUUCAUCCUCCUUCAGUCCUCGGUCCUUUGGUUGUUCAGAAAACAUGGCAAUUAUGUUUCUACUUCUUGCAAAGCUAAGGGAAAUGGAGAAGUUACCUGCAUGGUUUUUUUCUGGCAAGAUUGGAGAGAGUGAUUUUGUGGGAGACUGAAAUAAGUGAAAUGAAGAAAAGCCUUAGAAAGCAUUACAAAGUUCCACCGGACUGCAUUUACACUGAGCACUCGGUUGUGGACAGUCAGACUUUAAUGAAGAUCUUACGCAGACUGUGGGAGAUGAGAAAAGGCUAGAAGCUGUGUGGUCUGUUACAGCGGGGCAGCAGGUACCAUCAUGGGUCGAUGGAGAUUAGGCAGGGACAAAAGGUGGAGACACUCUUCAGGCUGAAGCACAUCAAGAUGUCCGCCCAUGCAGGCAGACAUGGGGAGGGCCUCACAGGAAGCGUGUUCUUCUGCAACAUCCCAUUACCCAAGACAGAACAGCCUCUGAGAUCAAAUGUGCCUGAACUGAAUGACCAGUUUCCCCUAAGCCUUUCCGUGGUCCUCAGACGCACGCUGUUAGGUGCCAAGGCAGAUGACAAGGAAGAUGCCAGUGCCAAGGCACUGUCAGUUCUCCAGCGUUCACUGAUGUCCUUCAAGCAACCAAAUAUCGAGUGCAUGUUGAAAUUUUAUUUUAUAUAUUCUUUACAAUUCUUGGUCACAGAGGUAGUUCUGAAGGCCCUGCCUGAGGACUUGGCCACCGGGGCAGAGGAACACAAUGACAGAGUUCAGAACGUUGCUUCCUUCCUCCUGACAAUUUCUAAGCUGGCUGACAUGAGAAAAGAAUGCCAGCUGCCUCUCUCAGAGACUGAAUGUGUGGACUCUGUGGGUCUGCCACCUGAUGCCUGGGACAGAGCAGGACUGCAGUCUCCCUGCUUGCCUGCCCAACACAAGCGAUCAAGACCUGCUUGACAUCAGUGUGAGAGACCCUGAUGCUGCUGUUGAGCAGUGAAGAUGGAAACCAGAAACAAGGACUCCUCUGAAGCAGCUGGAGUAAGUGGCUGGUUCAACACCAAUGCCAAGGAAAAUAGUACCUGGGAUAAGCUGCUGUCACUAGGGUGGCUGUCAAAUACACACACACGCCUGUGUUUAUGUGUCUCACACAUCUCAGCUUGACAAGCACAAAGCUGGCUGCAUUCUGCUGUUUUGUGUCUUUGUGGUGGUGGUUUAGUCCCUUCAGUUGUGUCCAACUCUUUGUGACCCCUUGGACUGUAGCCCACCAGGCUUCUCUCUCCAUGGGAUUCUCCAGAGAAGAAUACUGGAGCGGGUUGCCAUUCCCUUCUCCAGGGCAUCUUCCUGAC